UAACUUAUUUUUAAAAGUUCUCCAAAGAAAUCAGGUUCAACUAUCAGUAUGUCAGGUUUAACCCCUGACAUAAGUAUAUAACUCUGCAAAAGAAACACGGAGACAGAGAUUAGAAUUCAACUCGCUGCGAGGAGAGGUGUUCGGAGAUGCAACCAGUCACAUGCCCCAAACAAACUCUGGCUUGCAUUCCGCUCUCCCCGCUUUUUAUUUAGGGAAAGCCCUGGUUACAGAUGAUUUCUAAAGGUGGGGGAGCAAACAGGCUGAAACUGGUUUACAGUAUGCAUUCCUCUUCCUUCUCCAGAUGCCCCCAACUGGCCUUCUUCUCCUUAUAAGGUAAUGGUCAGCAUGCAUUGUUGACACCAGCUACUCURUCUGCUGGCGUCCUGAAACGGGGGUGGUUUUACAAUCCACAUGAAACAAAUAUGUGACACAAGUUYCUACUAAAUCCACACACUAUUCAUAAACAGAAGAGAUACUUUUAUAGAUAACUACAUUAUUUAGAAUGAAAACUAAUAAGUAGAAAAAGAUAAUAUAACAUUUAUCCAACA